rnacentral:rRNA from 1 species
UACGAAGGUGGCAAGCGUUACUCGGAAUUACUAGGCGUAAAGGGCAGGUAGGCGGUUUGAUAAGUCUGUUGUGGAAGCUCCCGGCUUAACUGGGAGAGGUCAACGGAAACUAUCAGGCUUGAGUGUAGGAGGAGGGUACUGGAAUUCCCGGUGUAGCGGUGAAAUGCGUAGAUAUCGGAAGGAACAUCAGUGGCGAAAGCGGCUUCCUGGACCAGCCACCGACGUCAGGCACGAAAGCGUGGGGAGCAAACAGG